UACGUAGGGUGCAAGCGUUGUCCGGAAUUAUUGGGCGUAAAGAGCUCGUAGGCGGUCUGUCACGUCGGAUGUGAAAAUCCAGGGCUCAACCCUGGACCUGCAUUCGAUACGGGCAGACUAGAAUUCGGUAGGGGAGACUGGAAUUCCUGGUGUAGCGGUGAAAUGCGCAGAUAUCAGGAGGAACACCGGUGGCGAAGGCGGGUCUCUGGGCCGAUAUUGACGCUGAGACGCGAAAGCGUGGGGAGCGAACAGG
rnacentral:rRNA from 1 species